rnacentral:rRNA from 1 species
UGGGGAAUUUUGGACAAUGGGGGAAACCCUGAUCCAGCCAUCCCGCGUGUGCGAUGAAGGCCUUCGGGUUGUAAAGCACUUUUGGCAGGAAAGAAACGUCAUGGGUUAAUACCCCGUGAAACUGACGGUACCAGCGGAAUAAGCACCGGCUAACUACGUGCCAGCAGCCGCGGUAAUACGUAGGGUGCAAGCGUUAAUCGGAAUUACUGGGCGUAAAGCGUGCGCAGGCGGUUCGGAAAGAAAGAUGUGAAAUCCCAGAGCUCAACUUUGGAACUGCAUUUUUAACUACCGGGCUAGAGUGUGUCAGAGGGAGGUGGAAUUCCGCGUGUAGCAGUGAAAUGCGUAGAUAUGCGGAGGAACACCGAUGGCGAAGGCAGCCUCCUGGGAUAACACUGACGCUCAUGCACGAAAGCGUGGGGAGCAAACAGG